AACGCACAUUGCGCCCUUUGGUAUUCCGAAGGGCAUGCCUGUUCGAGCGUCAUUAUCAACCCUCAAGCCUGGCUUGUCAUUGGACUGUGGUCGGUAUAAGACUCGUCCGAAAGAUAAUGACGGUGUCAUGUUGGACCCUGGAUGCAACGAGCUUGUCUUCGAGCACGCGUCCGAUGGGGCUGGCUGGCCCGGUCUUUUUAACCACAUUUUUCAAAGGUUGACCUCGGAUCAGGUAGGAAUACCCGCUGAACUUAA
rnacentral:misc_RNA from 1 species